AAACAGGCGAUGAGUGGGGCCAGUAAACCAUGAACGGUAUCCAGAGAGUGAAACCCGCAGGCUGCAAGGUUUCAUUACCCUCUUCGUGGUUGAACCUACCUCAUGAGCUGUUAGGCAAACCUAAACGUCUUACCGGCGUUAUCGGUGCAGAGUUGGGCUCUUGGGAAAAGAGCCAAAAAAGGUGGUACCGCGGAAACAAAGACCUUCCGUCCUUUUU
rnacentral:ncRNA from 1 species